rnacentral:lncRNA from 1 species
CCUCCACAUCAUCACAAAUAGAUUUAGGAUUAUUUGAAGAUUACAUCGCAUAAUUCGGAAAACUCAUAAUACAACUUUGAGCUAGAGUGAUUUGGUCGGCCAUAUGAGUUAACUUUCCACCCAAAAAUUUUACUCUUGAUUGAUAUAGAGAAUCCGAUAAUACCAGGGAUCGAAUCUUGGACUACACAUUUGUAUCCGCACAUAACACAAUUGUUAAUACUUAGGAGUAAAUUCAAUCACUCAAAUUUUCUGGAGUACUAUUGUCAAAAGAAAUUAUUCGAGAGAAUUGAAGUGUAAGUUUAGAAUAUCAUAUUGGUCAGGAAUGUGCUAUAUGAAGAAUAGACUCACAAACCUCGUAUUAUAACCAACACUGUACAUCAGACUACUUUUACAACUCAUAAAACACAGAAAAAAGAAAGAAAAUACAACCAAAAAAAUUGAAUUAAUUUUUUCUUAUCAAACUUGAUAUAAAAAAUUUAGAUGAUGACACAGCCAUUAGGAUCCUCUUCAACGCUUACGGCACGGUAGUAUGAAUUGUAUUGUGGAUUCAUCUGAUGAUUAUAAUAGGUAGUAGGUGUACCAUAGAGCAUGAAAGGAUUAAUUAUCAUUGUUGAAUCUUUCUUAUCAUCUUCCUUCUUUUUAUCAUCUUUUUUAGGUUCUUCUUUCUUUUCCUCUUUAGCUGGUCCAACUGAAAGUAUUUCUGCAUGACAUAACUUCCUUAACUUAGCCACUACACGUAUUGGAUCAAUAUCUCCUAUUAAGGUCAUUUUCUUGUCUUUCAUGUCUAUUGAAACUGAUUCAACCCCUGCAACAAUAUUACAAAUACAAUCUUAGCAUAUCAUUAAAAAAUUUAAUGAAGUAUUGAUUCGAUAGAUUUGGAUUGUGUAGUGUGACCGUACACAAUCGUCCAUAUCUAAACUGUCCAAUCAGAUUUUCAAUUUCCAAUACACUUUAUUAAUCUAAAAUAUCGAACUUAUAACUCACUAUCAAUAGAAUUUAUUUUUUUCAUGAAUUAAAAAAGCAGAAUUUUAGUUAAUUCAAUACCUGAAAGGCCAGAGACUGCUUUCAUAGCUUUUUGCUUGAUUUUGUCUUCAUUUAUUUCCAACUUUAACACAACUUUCUGUAACAAAAAUAUCAAGUAGUUGUUAGAACAGAACACUUACUUUCCUUCUAACUCUAAAACUAAGAUUACCAAAGAACUAGUUGAAAAUUCACCAAUCAUACUUUAGCUAUGAUGAAGGAGAUAAAAAGUGGUUUUAAUGAAGGUAAAGUAUUAACUAACCUUCAUAUUGUUAUGGAAGCUACUGAGCUGAGGUAGAAGAACUCUUGAUGCAAAUUGUAAUAGAAGGGAAAGAAAAGUUAAGGAGAUAAUUUUUGAAUUUGAAAUUAAGUUAUGAAAUGAAGAUGAUAAUUUGAUGAUUAUUUAUAGUAUAAGGUAUGGAAGAGUUGAUGAUAGAGGUUGGCUGGGUCAACCGAAACUAGUCAAGACAAGUACUGGUGUAGUGUGUGGUCUUCUUCGAAGCUAGUAGGAGAAAUAAAAGACUUUUUCUAAUCUAUAGUUUGUUUGAUUUCCAAAUUCCAAUAUACCGUUCCUUCGUGGAACAACGGAACCUACAAAAAUCAAAUCAAAAAGUAAUGGUUAAGGUGAUAAAUUUAUUAUUUUAGUUAUGGUGGGUUCUAUCGUGGACCUACGGUUGAUUAGUACUUAAAACUUUAACAUACGUCAUAGAAUUAGAAGUUCACUGUUGUCUUAAUCUUUUACAGCUGAGGCAAUAACUUGAUCCAUGUUAGAUUCAACAAAAGUAUAAAAAAAAAAAAUCAAAGAGUUGUUGUGGCACACAUGUUUGUUUUUUCUUGUUUUUGUUGUCAUCAUUCUUAUCGUCUUAGUUGUGAGAUAAGAAGAAACAUGAACCUUAUCUUAAAAAAGAUGAUGUUUGUAGUUGUUGGUGUUUUUAACUAUUUUCAAAUAAUUGUUAAUGACAAACCAUGUAUUAAAAGUGUUUAAUGUAGAAUGUUGCAUCUACAAGCUCAUCAUUUGCAUCCUUUCUUAGCUUUGACCGAGUUUCCAUUGGAGUAAUUGCUGGAUUGCAGCUAUUCAUUUUGAGUCUCUUCAAAAUGGCAGCAUAUUUUUGAUGCAAUAAUACUCCAUUUCAUGUUUUUAUUUCAAAAAAAAAAUUAAAUUCCAUUCCCGUGAAAAAACAAAGGUUCCCUGAGUCUGACAUUUCAAACGCAUGCAUCAUGCUAGCUUUGGACUUCAUUAGUUCAUCCUCAUUUAAACGUGUGAUCAACAAAUCAUCUACAUAUAAGUACAGAAUAAUCUGAUUUUGCUUAUUUGAACACUUCACAUAAACUCCUUGUUCUGAAUUCUGAUAUGCGUUUGGUGAAUCCCAAUUUAAUAAGAAUCGGAGUUCAAAUCUCGACCACCACCUAAAAAGUUGCCACUAAAAAACAAUUUUUCUAGAGAAUUUCAGUUUCAUUUUUGAAUGAAACAAUUACCAUAAACAAUUAUCUAAUUAUUGGUCCACCAAGGACAAUUACCAGACACUUCUAGCCGGUUCUAGGUCCCUUAAUAAAGUUAAAAUGUCGUUGUAUUAAAUUCGCCGCCGUACUCAAAUAGACUAGAGUAUGAUGCUUACGCUUGAGAUGAUGAAACAUAUUCAACGAUAUAUUAAUCAUUUGAAACAAAAAAAAAUAUUAAUCAUUUGAAACAAAGGACAUUACUCAAUGCUAGCCGAAGAUAAACACUUGUUUAUUUGUUUUUAUUAAUUAAUUAAUAAUUAAAUGUAAAAGUAUAUUUAUAGCUGUAACAUAUUUUGGUGGUGGUUGAGGUUUGAACCAUGAGCUUGUAUAUACUACAUUCGUCCAUAAUUAUAAUGCCCUUUUGAAAAAAUAACGGGAAUUAAGAUAGUGAAUAUUUGUAUUAAAUAUGUUUGUAAUUACUAUUGUUUUUACAAUUUUAUCAUUUAAGAAAGAGAGUUGGCUAAUGUUUUCAACAUUCUAUUUAUUGCUGAUUGAAAAAAAAAUGUAUAAUAAAUAGGGGCAUGUAUGUAAAGAAAUAAUUAAUAUAGUUGAAAAUAGAAUAGGGGUCUUAUAGAAAGGGACAAAAAAUUUUCUCAAAAGGGUCUUAUAAUUAGCGACGGAUGUAGUAUUAUAAACUAUCUCUACCAACUUACCUAAUUUUAUAAGAACUAUCAAUUGUAACAUCUAUUAUGAUUAAAUAUUUAGUAAAUAAAAUUAAAAUAAGCUCUUUCUAUAGUGUUUCAUAUUGUUCUUAUUGUUGCGGAGUAGUUUAUAUUCUAAUUGAGUUUAACUAUUUUUUUUAACUUAAUUAUAUUAUAUAAAGGAUAAAGUAAAUAAAAUAAUUUAAAUGACAAGUAAAAAUGAAAAAGGAAAAAAAAACCACAUCAAAAUCAUGUUUUGAUUUGAAUCUAUUGUCAUAAUGUUUAAUAUGAUUUGAUUAGGAUUUAAGAUUCACCAAAACUUUAUUUUUUAAAUAAAACUGUUGUUGCUUUUCCUCUCACAAUAAUGAGUUCAAAAUAUUCUUGUUAAUUACUACAUUUUAUAGAUAACAGUAGUAAGUAAAGUAUAUUAUUGUUUGUUUUUCCUUCUCGAUCCUUAUGAAUAAUAUUUCACAUUAAUUUUAAUGUAAGUGUAUAACAUUAUGUGAUAGCAGUGGCGGAGCCAAAAAAAUAGUUCGGAUUAGAGCUGUCAAAACGGGCUAGUCCGAAUAGGGCGGCCCGUUAGCCCGAGUAAAACUUAGGGUUUGGGCACAAAAAUUCUAGCCCGAAUUUUUCCAGGGUUUUUUAGCCCGACCCGAAAAAGCCCGCAACCCGUUUGGGCUGGCCCGCUCGGGCUAAGGGCAGCCCGCAAAAAAAAUAUAAGUUGGUUCAGUUUUGGUGUGGAGUGAAUGAAGGAUCAAGUGCAGACCAAGGAAUAAGCUUCCAACCAACUUUAAGUAAUGUCUAUAUUUUUCAUUCUGAGUUGAAACCAUUAUGUGUAUUCGAUCAAGUGUAGAAAUUGAAAGACUUAAUGGAUUUUUUAAACAUCUGCAGUAAUAUUUAGCGAAGAGAUCAGUUUUUCACACCUUAAUUUCUCUCCCUGCAAUUACUUUUAAUACGGGUGUAUUUGUUAUAACAUUAUAAGCUUUCCAAUAUAAUAGAUACUCCCUCCGUCCCUAAUUAUAAGACCCUUUUGAGAAUUUUUUUUGUCCCUUUUUAUAAGACCCCUUUGUUAUUUCCAACUACAUUAAUUAUUUCUUUACAUACAUACCCUUAUUUAUUAUACAUCUUUUUCUUCAAUCAGCAAUAAGUAGCAUAUGGAAAACAUAAACUAACUCUCUCUCUUAAGGAUAAAAUUGUAAAAACAAUAGUGAUUACAAACAACUUUAAUACUAAUAUCCGCUUUCUUAAUUCCCGUGAUUUUAGCAAAAGGGUCUUAUAAUUAGGGACGGAGGAAGUAAUAAAUUGUUUAUAUGUUAUAACAAUUCUUAUAAACUUAAUACAAAUUUGUUUAAAUUGUCUAUAUUUGUUUAACAAAUUAAAGCCAAAGGAUACAUUUAUUAGAAUGAUUAGGUAUUAUUGGUGCUACUACUAAUUUUUCACACUCUGUAGGCUACUAAAACACAACCUGCACAAAGCUUACACUGAUACCUCUGAUCUUCAGUAAUAUCUCUUGUCUUCGUUUAGUUUCUUUACUCACCCGAACAUAUUGUUAUUAUAAUUAUAUAAAUAUUUAAUUUCUAUAUGCUAUUAUUUUGUUCACUAAUUGUGUUUUUUUUGUUAGCUUGUACAAGUUAUGUUGAGAUCAUUAAAGGAUUAUUUUUUUUUAAAAAAAAGGUACAUGCGGGCUGGCCCGUUAGCCCGGGAGCCCGUAUAAGGCCGGACUCGGGCUCUAUGAUUCCAGCCUGUAUUUAAAUAGGGUUUUUUAGUCCGACCCUGAAAAGUCCGCAACCCGCUCGGCCCGACCCGAAAUGGGCCGGAUAGCCCAUUUUGACAGCUCUAGUUCAGAUGGAUCACUAAAAUUAAUUAUAAUAUAUAAACAUAAAUUAAAGUUGUAAUAAAAACAUUAAGUAAGAAGUUGAAAUGACGAAGUUUGACUAAAAGGUUAGGACGGAUACUUAAAUAAUUAUAUAUUUAACAACUACUAUAAAUUAUGAAACUUACAACUGUUAACUAAGAGAAUUUUCAGUUAACAGAAUCCCAACCCUUACAUAUAUAUAUAUAAGAAUGCAUGUCUCUGUAUAUAUAAAAACGCAUGGACCAAGUUUCUUAUUUUAUAUAGGCAAAAUGUUGGUGGUUAUUUUGUUAAGAGAGGUCGAAUUUAUCAGCACUAAGUAUCAAAAUUUGGGCAUCAUUCAUAUUACUUUAGUCCACACUACUUUCAACACUUCCGUGUCCAAAAACUGUUGUUAAUAGUAAAUUCAACCACUCAAUUUUCUCGGGAAUUUCUGUAAAAGAAAUAAUUCUAUAGAAUUUUUGUUAGGGGAGAAAUAAUUCUAGAGAAUUGAAAUGUAAGUUUAGAGUAACAAUUUUUUGAAGGAAAGUUUAGAGUAACAUAUUAGUCAAGAAUGUAUUACGUACAUAAUGAAAAUAGCCUCAUAUUAUAUAAUCAACACGAUAUACAUCAAGCUACUUUUACAGAUAAUAAAACAAAAAACAAAAAAAACAAAACAAUAGGCAACUACCAUGAUUAUUUUUCUGAUUAAUUUUUACCAAAAAUAAUAUAAAAAAUUUAGAUGAUGACACAGCCAUUAGGAUCCUCUUCAACGCUUACGGCACUGUUGUAAUAAGGAUUGUACUGUGGUUUCAUCCGAUGAUUAUAAUAAGCAGGUGCACCAUAGAAAAUGAAAGGAUCAAUUAUCACAUUUUCUUUUUUUGUAUCUUUCUUAUCAUCUUCCUUCUUUUUAUCAUCUUUUUUAGGUUCUUCUUUCUUUUCCUCUUUAGCUGGUCCAACUGAAAGUAUUUCAGCAUAACAAAUCUUCCUUAGCUUAGCCACUACACGUACUGGAUCAAUAUCUCCUAUUAAGGUCAUUUUCUUGUCUUUCAUGUCUAUUGAAACUGACUCAACCCCUGCAACAAUAUUACAAAUACAAUCUCAAUAUAUCACAAAAAUAAGAUCAAUGAACAAUUGAUACUACAAAUUAGAAUUGUGUCCAGUGUGACUGUACACAGUAAAUUACAUCUAAACCGUCUAAUCAGAUUUCAAUGCAGAUUUAACUUCUUUAGGAGUCUUUGGAUUGUGACCGCACACGGCCCAGACAUUGAUGCUAUAUGAUCAAUGAUUUUUUUUUCUUCAUGAAACAAAAAAGCAGAAUUGCAAUCAAUUCAAUACCUGAAAGGCCAGAGACUGCCUUCAUAGCCUUUUGCUUGAUUCUAUCUUCAUUUAUUUCCAACUUUAACACAACUUUCUGUCAUGGAAAAAUCAAGUAUUUGUUAGCACUGAACACUCACUUUCUUUCUACUACGAUAUUAUGCAAUGAAAUUACCAAAAAAGACAAAGCAAAGGUUGAAAAAUUGGAAUACUAAUAAUUAAAACAAAAAUUUAAAACAUAUAUAGGUCUUAAUUAACUCUCAAAUUAAGACUACCAAAUAAGUACUUAAAAUUCAGCCUUGAAAUUUUACAUAAGAUAAGGAAAAUUCAUCAAACAUACUUUAGCAAUGGUAAAGAAAAUAAAAGAGUGAUUUAAACUUUUAACCAGGGUAAAGUGCUAACCUUCAUUGUUAUGGAAGCUUUAGAGCUAAGGUAGAAGAACUCUUGAUGCAAACUUUAAGGAGAUUGAAGUGGUAAUUUGAUGAGGAAGAGAUUAUUUGAGGCUUAUUUAUAGUAAGGUAAGGAAGAGUUGAUGAUAGAGGAAGGUCAACCGAAACAAGUCAAGACAAGUACUAGUGGUAGUGUGUGGUCUUCUACGAAACUUAAGCAGCAGAAAUAAAAGACCUUUUCUACUCUAGUUUGUUUGGUUCCUCGUUCCUUCGUUGAACCUACAUAAAGUGAAGAUUUUAUUUUAGGGGAAGAGAAAUGAUAUUUGUACAACUAUUUUCUAACAAUUUUUUGACAAUUUUUUCUCUCAUACUCACAUUAUACUCUUAUUCUCUCUCUUCCUUUUUUUCUCUCCAUUGUUUUUGACCAAUGAAAAGAGAAAAAAAAAGGUUAUCACAUAAGUUGUCUCAUUUGGUUGUUCAAAUAACACUAUUCUUUAGGGGAAUUACUACGUAAAGGGAAGAUUUUAAUUUAUUAUCUUGGUUGUGGUUGUAUAAGUUAUUUUGGGUUGUUAUAAAAUUUUCAAAUUUUACAUUUCGUCCUUGUGGAUAUUGUUGAGUAUAUAUAUAUAUGGUUUUGCUAGAAGACAUAUUUUAAGUUUAAUACAUCCGUUGGUCCUUUAAUUUAUUUUAUUUUCUCAGUUUGAUCCCUUAACUGUUAAAUGUUUCAAAUUGGUCUUUUAUCUAUGUUUUGUUAGUAAAUUUGGUCAUAUUUUGUUAAUUUUAACUCAUUUAAAAAGGAGACCGUUGGAUAAAUGAGGUAUAUCAGAUCUAACCGUGUAUCAUCAACAUCUAAUUUAUUUUACUAUUAUUCAUCUUCUUCCUCAUCUUCAUCUUCAUACAAGCCUCAUACGAUAAUCGACACACUAUACAUCAUGCUACUUUUACAAAUCAUAAAACAAAAAACAAAAAAUCAAAACCAAAACGAUAGACAAAUACAAUGAUUAUUUUCCCUCUCAAAAAAGUAUAUAAUGAUUAUUUUUCUGAUUCCUCAAAAAAUGAUUUUUUUUCUGAUUUUUUUUUUUUUUUUUUUAUCAAACAUAGUAUAUAAAAUUUAGAGGAUGACACAGCCAUUAGGAUCCUCUUCAACGCUUAUGGCACAGCAGUAUUGUGGUUGCAUCUGAUGAUAAUAGGUAGAGGUAGGUGUACUAUAGUACAUGAAAGGAUUAAUUAUCAUUGGUGGAUCUUUCUUAUCAUCUUCAUUCUUUUUAUCAUCUUUUUUAGGUUCUUCUUUCUUUUCCUCUUUAGCUGGUCCAACUGAAAGUAUUUCAGCAUGACAUAACUUUCUUAGCUUAGCCACUACAAGUACUGGGUCGGUAUCUCCUACUAAGGUCAUUUUCUUGUCUUUGUCUACUUCAACUGACUCAACCCCUGCAAAAUUAUUAAAAUACAAUCUAAGUAUAUAUAUAUAUAUAUAUAUCACUAAAAUAAAAAUCGAGAAAUCAUUGAUUCUACGAAUUGGAUUGUUGUCACAUAUGAAUUGUCCAAUUGAAAUCAAACGAUUCAAAUUUUAAUAGUGAUUUUAUUUUUUAAUUCUAAAAUACCGAACUUAAUCUAGUAUAUGGCUAACUGCGUGCAGUCAUGAGAUUUUGACUGCACAUGACAUUGAUAUUGAUGGUAUAUGAUCAAUAGAAUUUUUUUUUCUGUACCGGA